AAUCUUCUAGGAGCAGCUAACAAGAAUCCUAAUACAGGAGUGUUUAUGGUUGGGUUGAGACACAUUCAGGAGCUGAGUGAUUGACAGCAAGAGGAGCAAGACAUGAGCCUGGCUCAGUGGGUCAUGCCAGUAAUCCCAGCACUUUGGGAGGCCAAGGCAGGCGGAUCAUUUGAGGUUAAUAAUUAUCAAAUAUAUGGCAAUGCUGGACUUUAGCUGAUGAUCGUGCUUCUGGAAAACAACAAAAAUUGAGAUAUCUUUUCACCACUUUGUGUGUCCAAGGACCACCUACUUUUUACAUGUGACAAGAACUACCCACCUCCACUCUUCAGGAUAGAACAUGCUGAAGAAAAGAGUUGCAAUGAGAAAAUAUAUGGGAACAAAAUACCUGUGCAAUGCAGAGGUCUGCAUAACUGAACCACUCAGAGGAAAAAAACAGUUUCCCUCCCAGGCUGGAGUACAAUGGCGCGACCUCGGCUCACUGCAACUUCCAUCUCCCAGGUUCAAGCAAUUCUCCCACCUCAGCCUCCUUACUAGCUGGGAUUACAAGCGCCUGACACCAGGCCCAGCUAUUUUUGUAUUUUUAGUAGAGACGGGGUUUCACCAUUUUGACCAGGCUGGUCUCAAACUCCUGACCUCAGUCCAUCGGUCCACCUCGGCCUCCCAAAGUGCUGGGAUUGCAGGCAUGAGCCACCGCUCCUGGCCUCAAGUUUAAUUCUUAAGUGCUCUUCUUCACUCUCUGGCUUGCUCACUUUCUGGGAAGACAUUUGUCAUACUGUGAGAUACCCUAUGAAAAGUCUAAAAUUGCAAGAAGUGAGAGGCUCCAGACAACAGCCAGGUAGAAACUGAGGCUGUUCAUCCAACAUCUUUGAGGACCUAAAUAUUGCCACGAACCAAAUAAAUGAACUUGACAUUCCACCCUCCCCAGGUUGUCCUUCAGAUAAAACUCCAGCCCUGGACAACAGCGUGAUUGAAAAAACAAGAAACUUUAGCCAGAGAUUGCCAUUUCAGGACACCUCCUACAUCUGAAGAAAUAUGCAUUGAUCUUGCAGAACUUUUCUCCUCCAAAUAAAAGUCAGUAUGAUAACAAC